rnacentral:lncRNA from 1 species
CACUUCACUACAUUGACAGCGUUGAAAGUGUAACUAAAACCCUUGCUUUCACAAGCAAGCAUCGGUGAAUGAAAAAGAAAGUCUCUCUCGAAGGUAAUUGACAGAGGAGCAAUCUUCUUACUCUUUAACUAAAUAUCAGAAAUACAAGGUUAAGGCAGCUAGGGUUGCGAAGGAGAAGGAUCGUUCCCGGAUUUUGCCUGCUUCAAGUUGUUGGGCUUGGUGAACCAAGUUGUGUACACGAAUUGCUUAUGAGGGCCCACAUGGUUGCAGACAAGCCUGAGCUUUUGUCUCUCCCUCAUGUCUCACAUUUUAUGAUGAAUCAAAUUGAACUCCCAACACGGUAGUUCAUAAAAUAUGCUUUUCUUCUUCCAAGUAAUCUUAUCAUUUCUCUCAUUUUAUUCAUUCUCCACUUUUCAAGUCUUCAAUCUUAAACUCAGUAAGGAUAUUAUUCAACUGCUUUUUCACUUCAGCUCCAGACAUCCGAGAAGGUGCUUGUCCCCACUCUCUAGAUUUAUCAAAAGGCACUAUAUUUUCGAAACCUAUGAUUCGUCAGUAAAAAUCGACGUUACCGACGUGACAAAAUUUUCUACUAUGUAUCAACCAAUUAGAUCUAGUGUUUUGUUGGCAAACAAGAAAUGCUUAUUUACCUUUAAUACUCCACUCAGACAAGUUGGCAUGUGCUAGAAAGUCACUGAUAGUCCAUAACAAUGCUGUGUGUGAAUUGAAUAUUUGAUUACGUGAUGUAUCAUGUAUCAUUCCAACCAUAUCAUCAUCAGCACCCGAGUCAUGACUAACCUGUUUCUUGGUUAGAUUCCAAAGAUGAAGAUGGCUCACCAUGCAAUAUCCAGUUUUAAUACUUUAACCAAAAACCAUUUAUAAUGAUAUGGUCUCUUGCUACUUCCCUUAAAACGAAAUAUUCGACACUUCUUACAAGGAUAAUAAAUUCUUGCAUCACCAACAACAUUCUCAAAUGCAAAAUCUAUAACUUAGAUAUCUAUUUGCCAAACCAACCCAACUCUUCUCCAUUACCAUCUCCUUUUAAUGCACUACAAAAAUUAGUUAGAUAAAUCAUUUUAGUUUUUCAUUUCUACUACUGACCAAGAUAUUUUCGUGUGUGCACAGUUUUGCAAUAUAAUUAAAAAAUCAUUAUACAAUUUUAUGGUUAAUUUCAUUAGAAUUUAUAUAUAUGAAAGCAAGUAAAGCGACAAGAAUCAGAGAAAAAGACGUGAAAAUUAAAGUAUAUAUACAACAAUAAUUAAUGUAAAAAACAGUUUCCAAUACCUUCUGUAAAGAAAUAUCCUCACCCACAGCUGAGAACUUCAGUUGGUUAUCAAUUACAGAUACAAAGCAUGUUACCUAGAAACAAAAAAAAAGGUCAGCCAGCUGAAACAUAUUUAUAAACCAACAUUGGAGAUAGUACUCCAUUUAUAAACAAAAUUACAAGCUCAAAACCAAGUUAACUCAGCAAAACUAUAACCGAUUACGUCCAUCCAACUCAGCUCCUCCACUCCCAUCAAUAUGUCCAACACUCCCUUCAUAUUUACAAAAGGUAAGUGGUCCCGUAUAUCCCUCUCAAGAAUGCAUAAGUUUCUUCAAUCUCAAGUACUUUAAAGUUUUCUUCUACGUUUAUAGAAAUUUCGGCAGCAUCUCCCUUUAGUUCUCCAAGCAACGACAUAGAUAUAUGAGUGUUUAUGUGUUAUCUAGUAUGCACCCAAAGAAGAUGAGAAGCAGCUUGCGAAAAACUCAUUUUUACGUGGGAAAAAAACUUCAGCUACUAGCUACCAUAGAAAACUAUGCAUUCCCAAACAGUUCAAGCCUAGACAAUUCAAGAAUUAUUAAUAGGCAUAUGAUCCUCACUAUCAUCCAAAGAUGACACUAAUAAAACAUGUGUCUAUUAAUAAUUUCUUAAACGAUCUAAGCUUUCAAUGCAUGUAUUGAAAGUUUAAAAUUCAAUCUGAAAUUUGAAUAACACAUAAAUAUCAUAAAUCUCUUCAAUUUGUUCCUAAUACAAUGUAGCAUUAUUACGCGCAUCAUUUCUUAAGCAAAUCCAUAAAAAAUACAAACAAUAAAUACAUUUUCUAGCACUGAUGCAGAUUAUGUUUACUAAGCAAUAAGUUUUAAGUCAUUCAUGUUAAAAUACUUUUUCCUAUUCUUUCAACAUAUAACUAGUACGUGCACACAAUUAAUAAAUUAAAUAUAACCUGGUUGUGAAUCUCGCAAAAAUCUUCCUAUUUUUUUUUUUUUGGUUGGGGGGGGGGGGGGGGGGUGUGAGCUGCUUGUGAAUCUUGCAAAUCCUCGGGAAGGCAUGUUAAGUCAAGGCCAACUUACUAUUAGGGUAUGAAAGAUAUAACCUUUUUUUUCCCUUUUCAGAGUAAAAAGAACAUUGACAGUGUUAAAAAAAUCUAGAGGAUUUCAGGCCCAUAUCCUAACAAAUCAAGGAUAUUAGAAAAAUUUACUGAGGAUAUAGUUUAUGCUCAAUUGUAUCUUGCAGGAAGAAAUUGAUAAGCCUCAGUUUCAAUUAGCUUCAUUAUAGCCAAUGAUUAGGUGUUUAAAAACCAAUGAAUAUUUUUAUAAGAAAUCAACCGUAUUGUCGGAAGAAAAACCAAAUAAAAAUAACAAAGCCAAUGAACAGACUAAUGCUCUUUAUGGUCUAAUAACUAAAAACCAAUGAGUAUUUUUAUAAGAAAUCAACAGUAUUGUUGGAAGAAAAACCAAAUAAAAAUAACAAAGCCAAUGAACAGAUUAACGCUCUUUAUGGUCUAAUAACUAAUCAAACUAAGUUGUGGGUAAAGGCGAAUAUGUUUGUUUGGUCAAUAAUAAGCUCAACGAAUCACUAAUAAGCACCUAAUCACUAUUCCUUAUGCUAUGCAAUGUAAUGGCCUGGGUAAUGGCAGCAAGGCAGGCAAGAACUAGCUAGCCAGUUAUGAUAGUUGAUUAAGAAACUUGAUUAUAUGUAUAUUUUUGUUUGCCACAUUUAAAGAGAAUUUUCCAAAGAUGCUAAGAUACACCAAAUCCCACUAUUUCCAUACUCAUAAAAACAAAAAGCCAUGGCAAAAAUGAAUGACUAUAUAAAAUAAAAUAGGUCAUAGGACAUUGAGAUUAAGGCAACAUGAUUUGUAUACCAUAAAAUAACUAUAUCUGCAUAGUCAAUUAUAUUUCUGUUAGAACUCUAAAGUUUUCAUUUAAAUUUUUUUCCCUGUUAUGUAAACCAUUUAACUGAAAUGCUUAAGCCAAUAUUAACAAUCAUAGACAUACAAGUAUUAAUAGGCUCGUUCAAGUGAAAUGAGCAUUAUUUCUCAUAUCCUUUAGGUUUUUAAGUCAUUUAGAAGUCAUUCAUGUUAAAAAAUUUCUUCAUAUACUUUCAUUAUAAUUAGUACAUAGACAAUUAUUUAAAUAAAUAAAUCUGUUUCUGCUAGUACAGGAAAUUAAUUAAUCAAAGCUAGUAGUUAUAGCUAGGACUUGAAUGAGGCACCUUUCAGAGUUCAAGAGGAGCAUCUGAACAGAACCUUUAUAGAAAUGGCAAUGACGCUUUACAUCUACAUGCUCUUACACAAUAUGGACUUUCAUUUAUUCAAGAACAUAACACUACUCCAAGCUCUUAUUCUACAAGUUAAUUCAGUUUAUAUUAUAAUUUCUGAAAAUAGAACGUAACAUUAUUAAUAUAGAAUCAGCAAUAUAUAUAACUUAUCAGACAAUAUAACAUGCACUUGGUGAGCAUACAAGAUAAACAAGUUAUCUAGAAAAUGAAACUAAAACCCAAGCUCCGCUAUUCAUUGUAGAAGCUUUAAACAUAAAAUUAAAGUAAAUCUAAUAGCAAAACAUUAGAAUGGAUGUUGGAAUUAAAGCUAAAUUCAAUAGUAAUUCAAAUGAAUCCAUUUGAACUUUGUAGAACAAAAUUAAUUUGAGUGAGCAAACACACCAAUGGAACAAGAACACAGGGCUUCAACUUGUAGGAAUAAAAACAAUUGCUGGCGAGACAAAAAUUGACAAUAACGACUACAAUACGAAUUAAAAAGAAUCAAAAUCUAUAAUUACAAGCUAAGUAAGAGAAGAAACUCAUAAUCACAAGCUUAACUCAAAAGAUGAAGGGAGAAUACGAUGAAGAAGAAGAUGCCCGGUGUUUUACGCCGUUCGCCGGCAACCAGUUAGGUUUACGAUGGAGUCCAGCGAAUAGUUUUCUAACUGGAAAUAAAUUUAAAAUUCUAAAAUAGUAGUAUACCGAACGGCUCUUUACCGUCACGUGGUUAGUAACAUAUGUGACAGCAGUGUGGCUGUCACAUAAAGGGUAACAAAAGCAACUCGGGGUUACAAAGAAG